rnacentral:rRNA from 1 species
UUAGGAAUUUUGCGCAAUGGGCGAAAGCCUGACGCAGCAACGCCGCGUGAGGGAAGAAGGCUUUCGGGUUGUAAACCUCUUUUAGCAAGGACGAACACAAUGACGGUACUUGCAGAAAAAGCACCGGCUAACUACGUGCCAGCAGCCGCGGUAAUACGUAGGGUGCAAGCGUUAUUCGGAUUUAUUGGGCGUAAAGCGCAUGCAGGCGGUUUGGUAAGUCUGAUGUGAAAGCCCUCGACUCAAUCGAGGAAGUGCAUUGGAUACUGUCAGACUAGAGUGCAGGAGGGGUGAGCGGAAUUCGGGGUGUAGAGGUGAAAUUCGUAGAUAUCCGGAGGAACAACAGCGGCGAAGGCGGCUCACUGGACUGUAACUGACGCUCAGAUGCGAUAGUGUGGGGAGCGAACAG